AAGGAAAAACCUUUGCAAUACCUCUUGCUUUUCGAGGGGUUUCAUAGUAUAAUAAGUCUACCUUAAUUGGGUCGUGUGCCGUGUGGGUCCUGUGCGACAGCGCUCCGUGAACCAUGUCAGGCGGGGAACCGAGCAGCAUUAAGCGGUCAGCCUGUGCGCCGCAGAUCGCCUGCACGGUGCAUGACCGAGUUAAGGUAUUUUUAUGUUUUUCUUU
rnacentral:SRP_RNA from 1 species